UGUGCUUCAUGAUGUGUCCGUCUUCUGA
rnacentral:piRNA from 1 species